rnacentral:rRNA from 1 species
AACGAACGCUGGCGGCGUGGAUAAGACAUGCAAGUCGAACGGGACUAAAUCUGUAGCAAUACAGGUUUAGUUUAGUGGCGAACGGGUGCGUAACACGUGGGCAAUCUGCCGAGAAGUGGGGGAUAGCUCGCCGAAAGGCGAAUUAAUACCGCAUAUGAUCAGGGAAGACAUCUUCCCAACAUCAAAGCCGGGGCAACCUGGCGCUUCUUGAUGAGCCCGCGGCCUACAGCUAGUUGGUGAGGUAACGGCUCACCAAGGCUAUGACGGGUAGCUGGUCUGAGAGGACGACCAGUCACACUGGAACUGAGACACGGUCCAGACACCUACGGGUGGCAGCAGUCGAGAAUUUUUCUCAAU